GUUAUGAUGUAACGUUAACUAGCUGGAGCAGGUAACGUUGGUCUACGAGCAACGAAUUUAAAGAUGAAAAAGUCAACCAAAUUGAUACGUCUACCUGCUAUUUUGCCGAUUAUUUCUACUGUCUGGAGCAAUGCCGAGCACUCAAGAAAUGUUGAUAUGUUAUUCUUAUGUUACAUGUAACCACAUUGCUAGCUCGCUGGUCAUAGCCAGCUAGCUAGCUAAAACUGGCUGUGGUGUGUCGCUGUAGCCUUAAAUCACUGGUUUUUAUUUUUUGCUGCGUUAACGUUACAUUUUGUCUUGAACCUGUGAACCAUGGAAGGAAUGCUUUACAAGUGGACUAAUUAUAUGACAGGAUGGCAGCCACGCUGGUUUGUUUUGGACAGCGGAAUAAUCUCCUAUUAUGACUCUCAAGAUGAUGUUUGCAAGGGGAGCAAAGGAAGCAUAAAGAUGUCCGUCUGUGAAAUCAAAGUUCAUCCAACUGAAAACACCCGACUGGAGCUGAUCAUCCCCGGAGAGCAACAUUUUUAUGUAAAAGCUGUGAAUGCGGCGGAGAGACAGAAAUGGUUGGUCGCCCUCGGAAGUUCUAAAGCUGGUCUCAUCGAUACCAGAACCAAAAAAGAGAAAGAACUGACCGAGACCACAGAGUCUUUGAAAACCAAGAUGUCGGAACUGCGGCUCUACUGUGACUUACUGAUGCAGCAGGUCCACACCAUUCAGGAGUCUGUGGCUCCAGAUGAAGACCAAACAACAUCCAGCACUGAGACUAUGAAUGAAGCGUCGUCGUUACUGAGUGCAACGUGCAACACGUUUAUAAAGACACUGGAGGAUUGUAUGAAGAUUGCCAACUCCAAGUUCAAGACUGACCUUCUCCAGCUUACCCCGCCUGACCCGCUGAUGUCUCCGGUCUCUCCAUCCCCUAUACAGAUGGCCCGGAUGAAGCGUUCUAUUAGUCACCCUGGCACCUACAGUUUCGACAGGUCAAGCCAUUUGCCAAAGGACGGGUUGCCGCCGCCACCUCCGCCGCUGUCAAUCCUGCCGUCGCAGAGGUCGUCUCAGAGGCGCACGCGCACGUGCUCAGACACCGAGGCGCUCAGCGACAGCUGCACAGAGGAGACAGACCGAACGAUGCCAUAUUCCAAAGCCACGGUCAACGGAGACUCUGCUCCCAGCAUUCCAGAAGAAAUAAGCGCAAAUGCAAACCGGACAGCAAGGUCGCCCCUGGACACGGAUACUCCAGAGUCGGAUCUUUCGCUCUGAAAAACCGGGCAUUCUUUUUUGCUUCUAUUUUCAAAAACAAAAGAAAAAAAAUCAUUUGUCUUUUAAAAUCUUUUACUUUAAUAGAUACUGCUAUGCAGUCUCCGCUUGCAUUGCAUUACUGGUAUUGUAGGAAAUAUACUUUAGUAUUAUUUCCUGUGCAAGCAUUUAUUUGCACUUUAAAAAAAAAAGAAGGAAAUGAAUGUUUGUAUACGUAAAGGUAUUUUUAAACAUUGUCAAUGCUAGGUCACGAGUCAUGUCUCGACUGACACAGAAAUGUGGUCAUGAUUCAUCAGUGUGUUUUUGCAGAUGUUCAUCUGCAGUUUCAGUGGCAGCCUAUCCAAAUGAAAACCUUUAGAGAACCUUUGGUCACUGUACCAAUGAGCAAAGCUCUGUUCUCUUCUGUGUAAGAAAAUACAAUAACAACAACAACCACCAAACACUUGGUAUGCACCAGUGUUCACACCAUUUUCUGGAAAUAAUUGACCUUCCUUAUAAAAGCACAAACGCAAUGCACUUGGCUGUCUGUUCCAAGGUCCUCCAUUCUCCAAAGUCUCCAGACUGUGGUACAAGAGACUUCAUAUAGUUAACCCUUCAUUUGCCUUUUACCACCACCAAGCCAUGUUCUAAUUUAGAGACAAAAGAUUUUUACCUGUUGAUUAAUGAGGAAAGAAUAAAUGUUGUUAAAUAUGUGAGGCAUAUGAUGUAUUCCCUGAAAUGAGGAA